UUAUUAAAAGUUCUUUUAGCGAGUUGUAAGAUAAUUUUUACUUUGGAAUUUCACAACACACAUGGCCUGCACUUCUAAGGGUUAGGUUCAACAUUAUAUUGAUUAAGUCUGGUAGCAACCUUGAGUCCUGAUGAAUCAUACCUAUCUAAUUCACUAUUAUCCCAUAUUUUUUUAAAAAAAAGAAAAAGAAAGAAGUGAAUUUAGUCAGGUACAUCGAAAAGGGCUACCUAUUGUCAAAGGUCAGCGGGCUUGUGAUGAUGAACCCGAGCAUAGGUCCGUAGGGGAGUCUUGAUGCCCAACACCUUAUGCCAUCUGGUGUGGGAGUGUUGACUAAAUGCUCGUUACAUGGAGGAAUCAUUACAAGAGUAAAAGUGCAUAAUUUAUUUAUACAAAAAAAAGAAAGAGAAAAUAAUAUUGACCUUGAAAAAGAUAAUAGUGUGAAAGCCGUCGUUGUAAAAAUUCGAGUAAACUGGAAUAUUACAGAUAAAGCCCAUGAGGUAUUAAAGUAAAUAUCCACAAUUCUCGAAAUCCUGCAAGAUAGGAUGAUUUUGAAUCAGUGGUUAGGUCUUAUCUGACCAAUUCUUGGAAACUACUAGCUUUAGCAGUAUUUUGG
rnacentral:lncRNA from 1 species